rnacentral:rRNA from 1 species
GACAGAGGGGGCAAGCGUUGCUCGGAAUCACUGUGCGUAAAGGGCGCGUAGGCGGGAUGGCAAGUCAGUCGUGAAAUCUCUCGGCUCAACCGAGAAACGUCGGCUGAUACUGCCGUUCUUGAGGGAUGCAGAGGAGACUGGAAUUCCCGGUGUAGCGGUGAAAUGUGUAGAGAUCGGGAGGAACACCGGUGGCGAAGGCGGGUCUCUGGGCAUUUCCCGACGCUGAGGCGCGAAAGCGUGGGGAGCAAACGGG